rnacentral:rRNA from 1 species
UACGGGGGGAGCAAGCGUUGUUCGGAUUUACUGGGCGUAAAGGGCGCGUAGGCGGCCACCGCAAGUCGGUUGUGAAAUCUCUGGGCUUAACCCAGAAAGGUCAACCGAUACUGCGGGGCUAGAGUGCAGAAGGGGCAACUGGAAUUCUCGGUGUAGCGGUGAAAUGCGUAGAUAUCGAGAGGAACACCUGCGGCGAAGGCGGGUUGCUGGGCUGACACUGACGCUGAAGCGCGAAAGCUAAGGGAGCGAACGGG